AGAAUCUUCAAAGGACCCAUGAGAAUCAGGAUUUGACCAACUGGACACGGUCAAUUGAGCGAUGAUGCGGCGUAAAUGUUAAUAUAGUAGUUAACUUAAAUUACUACUUGUACUAUAGAGUUGCAUCUCUAG